rnacentral:lncRNA from 1 species
AUACAAUACAUGAAAGAAGAGUUUGGAAUUUCUUUAUGCAACAUGUGUCGCCAUUCUAGAUGGAACAUAUGUUGACAGUAUGAAGCGAUCUAAACCCCCCUCCCAUAGUGUGCCACAAAAUAGGCUGAAAAGGAAAAAAACUAAAAACUAAAAAUGAAAUUUUUUAUCCAUUAUAGUGUGUUAGAGAGACCAACAAAGAAAUCAGCAGGGG